UAGCAGGUGGAAGAGGGUAGCAAUAACAGGUCCGUGCUGCCCUUUAGAUGCUCUGGGCUGCACGCGUGCUACAAUGUUAGGAUCAAUAGGACUGCGAGCCUGAGAGGGUGCGCUACUCUUAUAAUCCCUAACGUAGUUGGGAUUGACGUUUGUAAUCAGCGUCAUGAACCAGGAAUCCCUUGUAAAUGUGUGUCAACAACGCACGUUGAAUACGUCCCUGCCCUUUGUACACACCGCCCGUCGCUCCUACCGAUUGGAUGACUCGGUGAAAUCACCGGAUGCUUACGAGCAGAAAGUGAUUAAAUCACGUUAUCUAGAGGAAGGAGAAGUCGUAACAAGGUAACGGUAGGUGAACCUGCCGUUGGAUCAGUU
rnacentral:ncRNA from 1 species